rnacentral:tRNA from 2 species
GCCGGGAUAGCUCAGUUGGUAGAGCAGAGGACUGAAAAUCCUCGUGUCC